AAGCGGAGGAAAAGAAACUAACAAGGAUUCCCCUAGUAACGGCGAGUGAAGCGGGAAGAGCUCAAAUUUAAAAUCUGGCUUGCUUGCAAGUCCGAGUUGUAGUCUGAAGAAACGUUUUCCAUGAAAGCUGAGGCACAAGUCCUUUGGAACAGGGCAUCAUAGAGGGUGAGAAUCCCGUCCAUGGUCUCAUGCAUUUCAUUUUGUGAUACGUUUUCUAAGAGUCAGGUUGUUUGGGAAUGCAGCCUAAAAUGGGUGGUAAAUUUCAUCUAAAGCUAAAUAUUGGCGAGAGACCGAUAGCGAACAAGUACCGUGAGGGAAAGAUGAAAAGAACUUUGAAAAGAGAGUUAAAAAGUACGUGAAAUUGUUGAAAGGGAACCGUUUGAAGCCAGUCUUGCUUACUUGUGAUCAAUCUUAGCUUCGGCUUGGAUGCACUCUCGAGUUAUGCAGGUCAACGUCAGUUUGAGAGGUGGGAAAAAAGUUUGAGGAAUGUGGCCUUCGGGUGUUAUAGCCUCUUACUAAAUACCAUCUCCUGGACUGAGGCUCGCAGCAAAAAUGUGGGUUGGUUUGCUCCUGAGGUGAAUCAUUAUUAAGACAGCUUGCUGACUUAGUUUUGUGGAUCUUCACGGUAGACCAGCUUCUAAUUUGCUUAGGUCGUUGACAUAAUGGCUUUAAAUGACCCGUCUUGAA
rnacentral:rRNA from 1 species